rnacentral:rRNA from 1 species
UACGUAGGGGGCAAGCGUUGUCCGGAAUCAUUGGGCGUAAAGAGCGUGUAGGCGGCCCGCUAAGUCCGCUGUGAAAGUCCAGGGCUCAACCCUGGGAUGCCGGUGGAUACUGUCGGGCUCGAGUCCGGAAGAGGAGUGUGGAAUUCCUGGUGUAGCGGUGAAAUGCGCAGAUAUCAGGAAGAACACCCGUGGCGAAGGCGGCUCUCUAGUACGGUACUGACGCUGAGACGCGAAAGCGUGGGGAGCGAACAGG